GGUUCCGUAGUGUAGUGGUUAUCACUUUCGCCUAACACGCGAAAGAGUUCUCUGGUUCGAACUCGGACGGAACCA